rnacentral:rRNA from 1 species
UACGUAGGGUCCGAGCGUUGUCCGGAAUUAUUGGGCGUAAAGGGCUCGUAGGCGGUCUGUUGCGUCGGGAGUGAAAACUUACAGCUUAACUGUGAGCGUGCUUUCGAUACGGGCAGACUUGAGGCAUUCAGGGGAGAACGGAAUUCCUGGUGUAGCGGUGAAAUGCGCAGAUAUCAGGAGGAACACCAGUGGCGAAGGCGACCACCUGGACUGAUACUGACACUGAGGUGCGAAAGCGUGGGGAGCAAACAGG